rnacentral:rRNA from 1 species
GACGAACGCUGGCGGCGUGCCUAAUACAUGCAAGUAGAACGCUGAAGGAGGAGCUUGCUUCUCUGGAUGAGUUGCGAACGGGUGAGUAACGCGUAGGUAACCUGCCUGGUAGCGGGGGAUAACUAUUGGAAACGAUAGCUAAUACCGCAUAAUAGUAGAUGUCGCAUGACAUUUGCUUAAAAGGUGCAAUUGCAUCACUACCAGAUGGACCUGCGUUGUAUUAGCUAGUUGGUGAGGUAACGGCUCACCAAGGCAACGAUACAUAGCCGACCUGAGAGGGUGAUCGGCCACACUGGGACUGAGACACGGCCCAGACUCCUACGGGAGGCAGCAGUAGGGAAUCUUCGGCAAUGGACGGAAGUCUGACCGAGCAACGCCGCGUGAGUGAAGAAGGUUUUCGGAUCGUAAAUCUCUGUUGUAAGAGAAGAACGAGUGUGAGAGUGGAAAGUUCACACUGUGACGGUAUCUGACCAGAAAGGGACGGCUAACUACGUG